rnacentral:rRNA from 1 species
CCUACGGGUGGCAGCAGUGAGGAAUAUUGGUCAAUGGACGAGAGUCUGAACCAGCCAAGUAGCGUGAAGGAUGACUGCCCUAUGGGUUGUAAACUUCUUUUAUAUGGGAAUAAAAUGUUCCACGUGUGGGAUUUUGUAUGUACCAUAUGAAUAAGGAUCGGCUAACUCCGUGCCAGCAGCCGCGGUAAUCCGGCGGAUCCGAGCGUUAUCCGGAUUUAUUGGGUUUAAAGGGAGCGUAGGUGGAUUGUUAAGUCAGUUGUGAAAGUUUGCGGCUCAACCGUAAAAUUGCAGUUGAAACUGGCAGUCUGGAGUACAGUAGAGGUGGGCGGAAUUCGUGGUGUAGCGGUGAAAUGCUUAGAUAUCACGAAGAACUCCGAUUGCGAAGGCAGCUCACUGGACUGCAACUGACACUGAGGCUCGAAAGUGUGGGUAUCAAACAGGAUUAGAUACCCCAGUAGUC